rnacentral:rRNA from 1 species
AACGAACGCUGGCGGCAGGCUUAACACAUGCAAGUCGAGCGGGCCCUUUUGGGUCAGCGGCAGACGGGUGAGUAACACGUGGGAACAUACCCAUCUCUGCGGAACAACUCCGGGAAACUGGAGCUAAUACCGCAUACGCCCUUCGGGGGAAAGAUUUAUCGGAGAUGGAUUGGCCCGCGUUGGAUUAGCUAGUUGGUGGGGUAAAGGCCUACCAAGGCGACGAUCCAUAGCUGGUCUGAGAGGAUGAUCAGCCACAUUGGGACUGAGACACGGCCCAAACUCCUACGGGAGGCAGCAGUGGGGAAUAUUGGACAAUGGGCGCAAGCCUGAUCCAGCCAUGCCGCGUGAGUGAUGAAGGCCUUAGGGUUGUAAAGCUCUUUCAACGGUGAAGAUAAUGACGGUAACCGUAGAAGAAGCCCCGGCUAACUUCGUGCCAGCCGCCGCAGUAAGAC